GGGGAAAUUGGGAAAGGCAGGGGGGCAAUGCUGCGAGAGGCAAACAAGCAAUAAACCCAUAGGGACAAAGGGGUCACAAAAGCUAACCCAGGUAAAA